ACAAAAGCCGGGAUAGC
rnacentral:tRNA from 1 species